GACGAACGCUGGCGGCGUGCUUAACACAUGCAAGUCGAACGAUGAAGCCUAGCUUGCUAGGUGGAUUAGUGGCGAACGGGUGAGUAAUACGUGAGUAACCUACCUUUAACUCUGGGAUAAGCCCGGGAAACUGGGUCUAAUACCGGAUACGACCAAUCUCCGCAUGGGGUGUUGGUGGAAAGCGUUAUGUAGUGGUUAUAGAUGGGCUCACGGCCUAUCAGCUUGUUGGUGAGGUAACGGCUCACCAAGGCGACGACGGGUAGCCGGCCUGAGAGGGUGACCGGCCACACUGGGACUGAGACACGGCCCAGACUCCUACGGGAGGCAGCAGUGGGGAAUAUUGCACAAUGGGCGCAAGCCUGAUGCAGCGACGCCGCGUGAGGGAUGACGGCCUUCGGGUUGUAAACCUCUGUUAGCAGGGAAGAAGAGAGAUUGACAGUACCUGCAGAGAAAGCGCCGGCUAACUACGUGCCAGCAGCCGCGGUAAUACGUAGGGCGCGAGCGUUGUCCGGAAUUAUUGGGCGUAAAGAGCUUGUAGGCGGUUUGUCGCGUCUGCUGUGAAAGGCCGGGGCUUAACUCCGUGUAUUGCAGUGGGUACGGGCAGACUAGAGUGCAGUAGGGGAGACUGGAAUUCCUGGUGUAGCGGUGGAAUGCGCAGAUAUCAGGAGGAACACCGAUGGCGAAGGCAGGUCUCUGGGCUGUAACUGACGCUGAGAAGCGAAAGCAUGGGGAGCGAACAGG
rnacentral:rRNA from 1 species